rnacentral:rRNA from 1 species
CUAGCUGUAAAUGAUGGAUACUAGGCGUUGAGAGUAUCGACCCUCUCAGUGUCGUAGCUAACGCGUUAAGUAUCCCGCCUGGGGAGUACGCGCGCAAGCGUGAAACUCAAAGGAAUUGACGGGGGCCCGCACAAGCGGUGGAGUAUGUGGUUUAAUUCGAUGCAACGCGAAGAACCUUACCAGGGCUUGACAUGUCCGGAACCCUGCCCAAAGGCGGGGGUGCCUACGGGAACCGGAACACAGGUGGUGC